rnacentral:tRNA from 1 species
GGGCUCGUAGUUCAUCGGCAGAACGUGAUCCUUAUAAGAUCAAUGCAGAAGGUCCGACUCCUUCCGAGCCCA